UUGAGGCGCCCAAAAUGAUCGGGGCUCAAAUCCACCACCGAGACCUAGCGGCAUCCGUCAAAGGAUGAUCCCGUAGGUUGGCGUUCUGUUCGGGUGGAAGCACGGAAGAGAUUUCGUGUGGACCGUUCAGUAACGAAAAUCCUGGUCAUAGUAGCAGCGUGAGUCGGGUGAGACCCCCGACGGCCGAACGAGUAAGGGUUCCUCAGCACUGCUGAUCAGCUGAGGGUUAGCCGGUCCUAAGUCAGCCCGUAAGUCGAAGCUGACAACAGGGAAAUAGGUUAAUAUUCCUAUGCCAGUGUGCACUCAAAGCCAACGCUUUGGGGCCGCCUGAGCCGGGCCUUCGCCCGGUCGAACNAAUAGGUUAAUAUUCCUAUGCCAGUGUGCACUCAAAGCCAACGCUUUGGGGCCGCCUGAGCCGGGCCUUCGCCCGGUCGAACAGUCGAAAAUCGUGGAAGCCGUAAUGGCACGAAGCGAUCGAAUGGCUGGAUAGCGCAAGUCAGGUCAACCGAGAGCCCGUGAAAAGGUGAGCACACUGUCCGUACCGAGAUCCGACACAGGUACUCGUGGCGGCGAAAGCCAAGGUCUGUCGGGAGCAACCGACGUUAGGGAAUUCG
rnacentral:ncRNA from 1 species